rnacentral:sRNA from 1 species
CCAAGGGGACCCUGCGACCACCUGAGCGCCAGGCCCUGUUUGGCUCCUGGGAGCUCAUCUACGGCGCCAGCCAGGAGCUGCUUCCCUACCUGGAAGGAGGAUGCUGGGGCCAAGGGCUGGAGGGCUUCUGCCGCCACUUGGAGCUCUAUAACCAGUUUGCUGCCAACUCAGAGAGGUCCCAGACCACCCUGCAGGAGCAGCUAAAGAAAAAUAAAGGUUUCCGGAGGUUUGUACGGCUUCAGGAAGGCCGCCCUGAGUUUGGGGGCCUUCAGCUCCAGGACCUGCUCCCUCUGCCUCUUCAGCGGCUCCAGCAGUAUGAGAAUCUCGUCGUUGCUUUGGCUGAAAAUACAGGUCCCAACAGCCCUGACCAUCAACAGCUCACACGUAGGUUCUUGCUCCUCUGCAACGCAGGCUGGAGGCUUCCUCUCCUGUAUCCCUUUCUGAUUCUGACCUCCAACAAUGUCUGGUAUGACCCUAUCUUCCACUGACAUGUAUACAGUGUCCCUACUACUCUGCCUUUUCUUCAAGAAGUCAGACCCUGACCCUGGUCCCCUCCAGAAUAACCUCUUUCACAACCAUGGCACCCAAAGUCAAAGUUAUAUGGGGAGUAAGGUGGGAGAUGUUAUUCCAGGGGCUGCCCGACUGAUAAGUGAGACUGCCCAGAGAGUCCACACUAUUGGUCAGAAACAGAAGAAUGACCAGCACCUUCGGCGUGUCCAGGCUCUGCUCAGUGGACGCC